UGAAUGCUCUUAGUCAUAAUCGAUACCUUUCUCCUUGAACUCCCUCUCUCUCUCUGCCCUCUCAGUUUCCCUCAGUUGGAUCUGCAUCUCUGUCUUGCUCUCUCAGUUUCUCUUUUGGUAUCUCUUUCAUUUUUAUGCAGACCUACAAAUAAAACCCCCUUUCUCUCUUACUCCCCUUUCUUCUUCUCUUUUUGCCCAAUUACAAAUACAACUCUAGCUUUGGAAUUCUCAAAGCCAUCGUCAACAGCGGUCUCAGAGACAGAGUGCUAGUUUGCAAAGUCCUAAUCAUCGUCGUCAGCCUCCUCCAGCAGUUCUGACUACCUCUAUGGUCACAUCCGUUUUCCCACUUCCUACGAUGUCAUCUUCGGCAAGUUCAUCUAUCUCUCAUUGAUCAAGCUCUUCUUAUUUAAUUGUCAUCAUCCUUAAAUCUUAACAUGUUUUUGUCAACCUAGAAACUUCUGGGGCUAAAAUGGGUGAAUUAUGUGUUUAUAGUUUAGGGUAUAGAUCUGUUGAAAUUUAUUUAAUCCAUUUUAGGACUUUUAAUCGGAUCCUUAAAGAUCAAUGGUGUUCAUGGUGGAUUUGGGUUAAUUUGGGGCUUUAAGGGUUCAGACACAGGACGUGGAAAUAGUCUUUUCUACCUUAAUCGCUUUUGGAUUAUUAUGCUGUUUGUGCUUACCAUAGUCUUGCUCUUGUUGGUGAGUUUUAGCUUGUAGUCAGAUUUUGAUGUUUUUACUAGUAAUUGGGUUCUCAAAAAAGUGAAAAUUCUAUUAUGAAAUGGGCAUUUAGAACUGUUCAGAUGAUUGCUGUGAGUUUAUUCAAUCUUUGAUUGUUAGAUGGUAUGUUGGUGUUGCACAAAGAUAAGGCUUUUUUAUUAUUAUUUUGUGAUUCUUUCUGCACGUUGUAUGCUUGUAGACUUCCUCGCUUUUCUUAGUUUUUGUUUUCACAAUUUUUCCAUUCUUUCUCAAGCAAGUCAAACAAGAAUCCUUAUUGGAGGAUCCACUAGAUGCUUAAAGUUCAUCAAAGUUCAUCAAACUUCUCAGGAAGAACUUUAGAGCUAUUUGGAGAAAUGGUAAGUUUGGAGCAGAAGCCUGAUGGCUUUACGUUCAUUGUAGUUCUAAUUGCGUGUAGCCAUGCUAGGUUGGUUAAGGAGGGGCUAAAAUAUUUCAACCAGAUGCAGAGCUUGUAUGGAAUUGAUCCAAAAAUAGAGCAUUACGCAUGUGUGGUGGACAUGCUUGGUCGGAGUGGCCAAUUUAUGUAUCAUCAUGCACCCUACGGCACAUAUGCAACAUCUCUGUUGAAUUUACUUUUGAAUGUCAACUUUGUUCUUUGUAAGUAUUUUUUAAUGCCCCUUCCAAUUUGGUUUAAAAUUCAGGACCUUGAUAAACCUCCUCUUAUGUGAGAAACAUUUUUCUAUCCUGGCAUCGUUGUGUAUCAUGCUUGUUGCAUAAUUCAGCUUGUCUAUGGGGAUAAUGGGUCAUUUAUGUAUCAUCAUGGAUAUGGUUAUGCACCAUACGACACAUAUGCAACAUCUCUGUUAAAUUUACUUUUGAAUGUCAAUGUCCCUUCCAAUUAUGUUUAAAAUUCAGGACCUUGAGAAACUUUUUUCUAUCCUGACAUCAUUGUGUAUCAUGUUUGUUGCAUAUUUCAUGCUGUCUGUGGGGAUAAUGGGUCAUUUAUGUGUCAUUUCAAGCGGUAUAUGGGGUAACUUCACUUCAUCUUUCUUUUCUUUUUUUCAUGUUCCUCACCCCUCUGCCUCCCCCUUUAUUCAAAACAAGGGCAACCAUUGUCCGAUUUCCACCUCUCACAACUAGAGCUAAGCUAAAGCACAAGGGAAUUUUGCAAAGAGCCUUGGCUUAAAGCUUUGGUUGCCUUUGCGAUUGGACAAGGAUUGAUUACGUGAUUCCUGCGAAAGUAAUCAAAUAUAGAAAAAGAAAUUGCUUAAAUACGUUUGGUACUUCUGCAUUUUUUGUUGAGUAUUCCUCUAAAUGUUAAAUUGUGACUUCUUUUUUUUUUUUGUUUGUUUAAUAUUGGAAUUUUAGCAGCUUGGUUUUAUUUUUAUUAUGUUCAUUUAAUUUGUGCAGGCCUUUGUGUAAAAGCUUUGGUUCCCUUGACAAUUCAAAUAUGAAGAGUUGUUCCCAGGAACUUAUAGUAAUUCUACGGAUAUUUUUAUGAAUUUUAAAAAUUAUAAAUUUUACAAAUAAUAGAGAAAUGACACUAGUCAUGAUUGCAAUGCUGCAUCAGUACUUGUUUGCCACCAAAAUUUUGUAAACGCUUCAAAAGGAUUCGCUAGAGCUUCAACAUCGCUUCAUUUACUAUUCACUAAAGUUUCAUAAUAUUAUUUUUAUUUUUUUA